GGCUUUGUAGCACAGUGGUUAAUGCGCCUGUCUUGUAAACAGGAGAUCGACGGUUCGAAUCCGUCUGAAGACU